rnacentral:rRNA from 1 species
GAUGAACGCUGGCGGCGUGCCUAAUACAUGCAAGUCGAGCGAACGGACGAGAAGCUUUCUUCUCUGAUGUUAGCGGCGGACGGGUGAGUAACACGUGGGUAACCUACCUAUAAGACUGGGAUAACUUCGUGAAACCGGAGCUAAUACCGGCUUAUAUUUUCAACCGCAUGGUUCAAAAGUGAAAGACGGUCUUGCUGUCACUGAUAGAUGGAUCCGCGCUGCAUUAGCUAGUUGGUCAGGUAACGGCUUACCAAGGCAACGAUGCAUAGCCGACCUGAGAGGGUGAUCAGCCACACUGGAACUGAGACACGGUCCAGACUCCUACGGGAGGCAGCAGUAGGGAAUAUUGCGCAAUGGGCGAAAGCCUGAUGGAGCAACGCCGCGUGAGUGAUGAAGGUCUUCGGAUCGUAAAACUCUGUUAGUAGGGAAGAAGAUAGGAGUAAGUAACUGUGCACACCUUGACGGUACCUAAACAGAAAGCCACGGCUAACUACGUG